rnacentral:lncRNA from 1 species
UUAAAGUAUUUUCCAUAUUAUGGGAAAAAACGGCACUGCUUUUGACAACAGGGAACUCAGAGCAGCAGUGGGUAUCUGUUGAGGCUUGCACACGAGACCUGAUAAACAGAAAACAGACUUCUCCCACCGAGGGCUGCCAAGGACGUUGGAGCCUUCCUUCAUCUUGACAGAAGCGCCAACCUCCCCUCAGGACUUGAAACCCAGCAGAGCUGGCUUCCAACUGCAUGGACAAAUAUGUGUGGGUUGAUGAAGAAAAUCACUCAGAGCUUAUUAAAACUGCUUCCUAGACACAA